rnacentral:lncRNA from 1 species
GGGGAAUCACCAUACCUAUUCUCAAGCUGUAUUACAGAGCAGUCGUGAUAGAAAUUGUAUGGUAUUGGUACUGAGACAGGCAGGUAGAUCAAUGGAAUAGAAUUGAAGACUGAGAAAUGAACCCACAUACCUAUGGUCACUUGAUCUUUAACAAAGUAACUAAAACCAUCCAGUAGAAAGAAGACAGAAUUUUCAACAAAUGGUACUGCUUCAACUGGUGGGCAGCAUGUAGCGGAAUCAAAUCAACUCAUUCUUAUCACCUUGUACAAAGCUCAAGUCCAAGUGGAUCGAGGACCUCCCCUUAAAACCAGAUACAUUGAAACUAAUAGAAAAGAAAGUGAGAAAAGCCUCAAACACAUAGGCACAGGGGAAAAUUUCCUGAACAGAACAAUGGCUUAUGCUCUAAGGUCAAAUGGGACCUCAUAAAAUUGCAAAGCUUCUGUAAGGCAAAGGACACUGUCAUUAGGACAAAAGAGCAACCAGAAGAUUGGGAAAGGGUCUUUACCAAUCCUACAUUUGAUAGAGAGCAAUAUCUAAUAUAUACAAAGAACUCAAGAAGUUGGACUCUAGAAAAUCAAAUAACCCUAUUAAGAAAUGGGGUACAGGGGGUUGGGGAUUUGGCUCAGUGGCAGAGCGCUUGCCUAGGAAGCGCAAGGCCCUGGGUUCGGUCCCCAGCUCCGAAAAAAAGAACCAAAAAAAAAAAAAAAAAA